GCGGUUGUGGUGAAGUGGUUAACACACCUGAUUGUGGUUCAGGCAUGCGUGGGUUCGAUCCCCAUCAUCCGCC
rfam:Brochothrix thermosphacta DSM 20171 = FSL F6-1036 c52, whole genome shotgun sequence.